rnacentral:rRNA from 1 species
AGAUUUCUGAAACUUCGGUUGAUGAUUUCUCGUUUUUGGAUAGUGGCAAACGGGUGAGUAACGCGUGGAUAAUCUGCCUUGAAGUCGGGAACAGCUCAUCGAAAGGUGGGGUAAUACUCGAUAGUCUUAUCUUUUCUGAUGAUUAGAUAGGUAAAGUUCAGGCGCUUCAAGAGGAGUCCGCGUUCUAUCAGCUUGUUGGUGAGGUAAAGGCUCACCAAGGCAAAGACGGAUAGCUGGCGUGAGAGCGUGGCCAGCCACCAUGGAACUGAGACACGGUCAAUACUCCUACGGGAGGCAGCAAUUAGGAAUCUUGCGCAAUGGGGGCAACCCUGACGCAGCGACACAGCGUGGAGGAGGAAGGUCUUCGGAUUGUAAACUCCUUUUAUAUGGGAAGAAUAGAUGACUGUACCAUAUGAAUAAGCACCUGCUAACUACGUGCCAGAAGCAUCGGUGAUGCGUAGGGUGCGAACGUUAUCCGGAUUUAUUGGGCGUAAAGAGAAGCGUAGGCGUUUUAGUAAGUCUUUAGUUAAAGCCCGUGGCUCAACCACGGAAGAGCUAAGGAUACUGCUAAAAUUGAGACAGGAAGGGGCGAACGGAAUUCCGAGUGGAGUGGUGAAAUACGUUGAUAUUCGGAGGAACAUCAGUGGCGAAGGCGGUUCGCUGGUCCUUGUCUGACGCUAAGGCUCGAAAGCGUGGGUAGCAAAACGGAUUAGAUACCCGUGUAGUCCGCGCUGUAAACUAUGGAUGCUAGGUGUUUGUCGUGUUAUUGUUUUUUCUUCGGAAAUUACAGUGAACGGUGAGUACUGCAGCUAACGCGUUAAGCAUCCCGCCUGGGAAGUACGGCCGCAAGGCUAAAACUCAAAUGAAUUGGCGGGGACCCGCACAAGCAGAGGAGCGCGUGGUUUAAUUCGAUGGCAAUCGAAGAACCUUACCAGGGUUUGAAAUAUAUCUGCAAACCUCCAGAAACGGAGGAAUCCUUCGAGGGUGAUAUACAGGUGCUGCAUGGCCGUCGUCAGCUCGUGUCGUGAGAUGUUGGGUUAAGUCCCGCAACGAGCGCAACCC